UACGGGGGGGGCAAGCGUUGUUCGGAAUUACUGGGCGUAAAGGGCUUGUAGGUGGCCAACUAAGUCAGACGUGAAAUCCCUCGGCUUAACCGGGGAACUGCGUCUGAUACUGGAUGGCUCGAGUGUGGGAGAGGGAUGCGGAAUUCCGGGUGUAGCGGUGAAAUGCGUAGAUAUCCGGAGGAACACCGGUGGCGAAGGCGGCUUCCUGGACCGACACUGACGCUGAGGCGCGAAAGCUAGGGGAGCAAACGGG
rnacentral:rRNA from 1 species